GAAUGAAGGCAGCAUGGUUAUGUGCACGGAAAUUGAUUUCUUUAGGUCUGCAUGUCCGUGCUCUUUGAUAUUUUAUUUGAUUUUAGGGCCUGGUAACGACCUACAUUU